UUCAUAAAUUCUUUUGAUUAUCAGUAACCCGAGCUCUUCUAAAUUAAAUCUUUGACCAAAAUCCCAUUUUUUGGUUAAACACUAUCAUUUCUGCUUCUUUCUGCGGUGUGUUUAGUGUAGAGAAUCAUCGCUUUAUACUUGUCAGCAACUUCGUUGAAUUUAUUAGCUGCUCAUGUAGUUUAUUGGUACUCUCUGAUUUUGGUUUCUAGCCUCCUUUCCCAUUGGUAAAUAGAUACUGUUGAAAAAAUGAACUUUGUUUUGGAAGAAGAAAAGACUUUGGUUUUUGUGAUACAAGGAUUAUCUUAGUUCAUGUAUUAGGAAAUUAUUUUAAUGAUACAUGUAUUGUUUUGUUCAUGAACUAGGGAGGAGGAAAAACUUUAGUAGUAUUAAUUAAGGUACACGUGGAGUUGAGAGCUAGCUCACUUGGUGAACUCUUUGCCUUCUGCAGUUGAGGUAGAGGGUUCAAACCCCAUCAGUAAAGUAGCAUGCCCUUCCCCUUCCCCCCUCCUUCCUCCCCUGAUGUAAUUAUUUUUUUUUAUUUAUAAAAAAGGGUACAUGUAGUAGACUAGGUACUUGUUAGGAAAAAAACUCAUAAAUACCUAUGUAGUUUAACCAUUUUAUGUAAGCAAGUAGAGUGAAGUAAAGAAGAAUCAUUUCCUCACUUGUCUAAAAAGAAAAUUUGAGAGAUUGAGAGUUUUCUCCUCCCCGAAUUUCCAAAGAUACAUCCUCAUUCACAAUGAAUAUCCUUAUACUAGCAUGACUGAAUGUCUGAUGGUUUCAACCGAGGCAUCAAAUCCUCUCUCGCUCAGUGAUCCUUUGCUUGACAAUAUGUUGCAUUUCAGGUAUCGUCAUUUAGGGUCAUUUGCCCCUUUAGGUGGGGAGCAAGCAGCAGCAGAACUUCCUGGAGACUGGGUUUCUAUGGGCCAUAGCACACAGUGGCUAUGGUACUCCGUGUACGCUAGCAAGCAAGUUAGCUGGCGCACGAGGUAUUUAGUGGUUGCUGAUUGGGCAAGAAGAUACAUUCUCGGGAGAGAUUCAAGCCGAAUUUGAUGUGCUCAACCCCAUUUAGAAGGUGGUGCUUGUUUUCUACUGUUUUGCUGGCAUGCUUCGUGGCUUUUUAAUGUUUAUGACACUAUCCGGUUACAGCAGUUCAAGCCGGACAUCAGUUUAUGUUGUUUAAGAAUGUACAUAUCACUUGCGUAUGAAUCACAUUCGAUCAGUUCCUGGAGAAAUACACUGAAUGUUGCAGAUUUGAUUGUAUAAACUUGUUGUUCUAGUUUGUAAUUGAUUGAGAUUUGAGGCUCCAAUAUUGUUUUAAAGCAGAACAUAACAUGCUAGACAUUGAGAUCA